rnacentral:misc_RNA from 1 species
UUUCCGUAGGUGAACCUGCGGAAGGAUCAUUACCGAGUUCUCGGGCUCCGGCUCGACUCUCCACCCUUUGUGAACGUACCUCUGUUGCUUCGGCGGCUCGGGAGCAAUCCCGACCGCCGGAGGACCUUCAAACUCCAGUCAGUGAACGUCGACGUCUGAUAAACAAGUUAAUAAACUAAAACUUUCAACAACGGAUCUCUUGGUUCUG